rnacentral:hammerhead_ribozyme from 1 species
AUCCAUCUGGCGAGUCCCGAAUAAGACGAAACGUGUGUCCUGGAU